rnacentral:rRNA from 1 species
AACAGGAUUAGAUACCCUGGUAGUCCACGCCGUAAACGAUGUCGACUUGGAGGUUGUGCCCUUGAGGCGUGGCUUCCGGAGCUAACGCGUUAAGUCGACCGCCUGGGGAGUACGGCCGCAAGGUUAAAACUCAGAUGAAUUGACGGGGGCCCGCACAAGCGGUGGAGCAUGUGGUUUAAUUCGAUGCAACGCGAAGAACCUUACCUACUCUUGACAUCCAGAGAACUUAGCAGAGAUGCUUUGGUGCCUUCGGGAACUCUGAGACAGGUGCUGCAUGGCUGUCGUCAGCUCGUGUUGUGAAAUGUUGGGUUAAGUCCCGCAACGAGCGCAACCCUUAUCCUUUGUUGCCAGCGGUUCGGCCGGGAACUCAAAGGAGACUGCCAGUGAUAAACUGGAGGAAGGUGGGGAUGACGUCAAGUCAUCAUGGCCCUUACGAGUAGGGCUACACACGUGCUACAAUGGCAUAUACAAAGAGAAGCGACCUCGCGAGAGCAAGCGGACCUCAUAAAGUAUGUCGUAGUCCGGAUUGGAGUCUGCAACUCGACUCCAUGAAGUCGGAAUCGCUAGUAAUCGUGGAUCAGAAUGCCACGGUGAAUACGUUCCCGGGCCUCGUACACACCGCCCGUCACACCAUGGGAGUGGGUUGCAAAAGAAGUAGGUAGCUUAACCUUCGGGAGGGCGCUUACCACUUUGUGAUUCAUGACUGGGGUGAAGUCGUAACAAGGUAACC